AGUGAAUAGAUACCCUGGUAGUCCUAGCCGUAAACGAUACUCGCUAGGUGUCGGCCACGGUGCGACCGUUGUCGGUGCCGUAGGGAAAGCCGUGAAGCGAGCCACCUGGGAAGUACGGCCGCAAGGCUGAAAUUUAAAGGAAUUGGCGGGGGAGCACCACAACGGGUGGAGCUUGCGGUUUAAAUUGGAUUCAACGCCGGAAAUCUUACCGGGACCGACAGCGAUAUGAAGGCCAGGCUGAAGACUUUGCCGGAUUAGCUGAGAGGUGGUGCAUGGCCGUCGUCAGUUCGUACUGUGAAGCAUCCUGUUAAGUCAGGCAACGAGCGAGACCCACGCCCACAGUUGCCAGCGUACUCUCCGGAGUGACGGGUACACUGUGGGGACCACCGCUGCUAAAGCGGAGGAAGGAAUGGGCAACGGUAGGUCAGUAUGCCCCGAAUAUCCCGGGCUACACGCGAGCUACAAUGGUUGGUACAAUGGGUAUCUACCCCGAAAGGGGAUGGAAAUCUCCUAAAGCCAAUCUUAGUCCGGAUUGAGGGCUGCAACUCGCCCUC
rnacentral:rRNA from 1 species